CUUCGAUUUUUGAGAUAAUGAUGUCGACAUAAUGUUUGCAUAAUAAAUUUCAUUGCCGAACGUGAAUAAAUAUAUCGAUCGACUUAUUAUUGCAUUAUUGAAAAUAAAAAAUCGAAGAAGUUAUGAUAUAUGGAUAAUGCAAACACAAAAAUAAAUUGUACCAUAGUCUACUGUGGAAAAUUACAAUAAACAUGAAAAUGAAUGCAUAAUGUCAAAUAAACACAGUACCAAACAUUGCAAGUUAAAUAUGAUAUUAAGAACUAAUUGCAAGUGAAUCCCGCCAGCUAAUCCAUUCAUCGGAUAUCUCGACUGUCUCAAUGAAGUUGCUACGAUUGAUGGGGGUUAUAUAAUUUUUUCCGGUACUUCGUAUUCUUCGCGAUCAUGGUCACUAUUCGUACAAAUAAAGUUAUGCCAAAUAAGCAACACGACAUAAUAAUUCCAUUUUUUUUUUUGAUCAGAUAAUACGAGGGGCUUAAGUAUCCCAAAUGCUCAUUCUAUUGCAUUACGUGUCUUUGCGUGCUUCAAGUUAAAAUAUUCUUCAUGGACACGUACCAAAUUUGUACCAUCACUGAACUCCUGGAGAUGAUACCUAGUAUUUUUGUAUGGUGCCAAAAAUCCAUUCCUAUUAGUAUACCCGUUGUCAACUAAGUAAUAAUGCCCUAGAAAGCGUGGAUUUAAUAGGGACUAUUAAAGGUACUUAGUAUUAAUAAAUAUGUAAAGGGUACAAAUGAUGACUAAAAAAAAAUUCCUACCCUUUGGAACUAGUAGACCAUUGUGUCGAAUAAUAGCGUCUCGUAGAAUCCUACUAUCGGCGGCGGAUCCCUCCCAACCGGUUUCAUGAUGGGAAAUAACAUGCAAGAACAAGGUAGUUUCCUCUAUAAUUGAGAUGUUCCUAGUGGCGACCAAUCCACCAACAUUUUCAAGGAGGUAAAAAAACUGUAAUGUC
rnacentral:lncRNA from 1 species